rnacentral:rRNA from 1 species
AUGCCUUCAAGAAGGGAACGACGUCGUGAACGCCACCAUCGCCGGCUUUGGCAUCUAGCCAAGAGCAGGUUUUCACCCAGAUCUGUUCGAAGAACUCCAUCCAGCUUCUUGUGCACAGACCGCCGCCUUCUCUGUCGGAGACUAGAUCAAAAGGAUCCAGCAGCCGCCGCCAGAUCCAUGCAGUCAGCACCGGGAGAUGACGACAAUCUCCCUGUACCAGAGCUAGCACGAACCGGAGCAGAUCGAGUCGGAGACGAUGAUACUCCUGGAUCUCCGGCAGACCGGCGAGCCGCCGGCACCACCGUGUCCAGAUCGCCGGCCACGUCGGGCCGCCGCCACCCCCCGCGUCGUCCGGUGGUCACCAGAUCCGGGACGAGCCAGAACCGGUCGGACCAACGGGCGCGCCGCCACCCAGCCAUGGGGACACCGCCCCGGCCACCGCCGCCCCCUGUGCAUCCGACCGAUUCCCACCGGCACCACCACAGCCGCCGCCGCUGGGACGCUGCGCCGCCAUGGGCCAAAGUGGGGGCCGCACCUUUGCAGAUCUGGGUGCCCGGGCCACCCAUGGAUCCGAGGGAGAGGGGAGAGGCCCUCCGCCACCGCGUCGCACGCACGGGCUUUGCCCGACGCCGACUACCUGCGGCGGCGGAGGGGAGGACGGGGCGUGGGGAGGGUCUCUGGCGGCGGCGGAGGCUGGCCCCCCGUGUCGCCCGCGAGGGGGGCGACGCGAGAUGA